CAAGGCUGGGGGAGGGCCCCGCUGCCCGUGGCGCCACCAUGCACUGCUCCAGUGGCACGCUGAGUCCUCACAAUGCUUCUUCGAGCUUGGAGGGGGCAAGGGUGAAGGGGACAGGGACAGCACCAUCAGCGAGACCCCUGGGGGUGGGAGCUACUGCUUACCUGCACACUCACAGCCUUCUGGGGGUAGCUGGAUUGUUUCCAUUUCACAAGUAGAGAAACUGAGGCCCGGCCCAGGUCAACCUGGCAGUGUGUGUCCUGAUAAGUGGAGGGCCUGGGCUUCCGUGUUUAGCCUGCCAGCCCCCUUGUCCAUUUCUUUCCAAGAUACGGUACCUUCCGUGAAGCUCACGGUCCUGUGUCUCUCAGAAAGAAAACAGAUGAGUGUACAUCAGCUAUAGCCAGCAGUACGGUAGAGGUGGGGUGCCGGUGAUUGUGAUCCUGGACAGCUGCAGAGGAGCCUUGGUCUGCGCAGGCCUUUGCCGUUUGUCCUGCCAAGGGAGAAACAGAGCCACACAGUUGUCACACUGAUGUUCAGGCAACAAGCAGUCAUGAUGUGGACUCUGAAAACCAGCAUUCUGCACUUUCCCAUCGAGACGGCGGUCAUAUAAUUAAAUCCUUUGAGUAU
rnacentral:lncRNA from 1 species